rnacentral:pre_miRNA from 1 species
AACACUUUCACUUUCUUUUCACUUUGUAUUCCUAUUAUUAACAAUUUAUAGAAAUACAAAGUGAAAAGAAAGUGAAAGUGUU